rnacentral:tRNA from 1 species
GCGGCAGUAGUUCAAUUGGUAGAGCGUCAGCCUUCCAAGCUGAUCGUUGCGGGUUCGAGUCCCGUCUGCCGCUCCA